AGAACGAACGCUGGCGGCGUGGAUAAGACAUGCAAGUCGAACGCGACUUAUUCAGUUAGCAAUAACUGGGUAAGUUGAGUGGCGAAAGGGUGCGUAACACGUGGGAAUUUACCAAGAAGUGGGGAAUAGCUCGACGAAAGUCGAAUUAAUACCGCAUACGAUCGCAAGAUCAAAGCCGGGGACCGCAAGGCCUGGCGCUUUUUGAGAAGCCCGCGGCCCAUCAGCUAGUUGGCGGGGGUAAAAGCCCACCAAGGCUAUGACGGGUAGCUGGUCUGAGAGGACGACCAGCCACACUGGAACUGAGACACGGUCCAGACACCUACGGGUGGCAGCAGUCGAGAAUUUUUUCACAAUGGAC
rnacentral:rRNA from 1 species